rnacentral:rRNA from 1 species
GACAGAGGCCCCAAGCGUUAGGCGGAAUCACUGGGCUUAAAGCGUGUGUAGGCGGACGCCUAAGUGUCUUGUGAAAUCCCCCGGCUCACCCGGGGAACUGCUGGGCAUACUGGGCGUCUUGGGCCAACUAGGGGCAGCCGGAACAAGCGGUGGAGCGGUGAAAUGCGUAGAUAUCGCUUGGAACGCCGAAGGCGAAAGCAGGCUGCUGGGGUUGCGCCGACGCUGAG